GCCUGGGUGGCGAAAUCGGUAGACGCAUCGGACUUAAAAUCCGCCGGCCGCAAGGCCAUGAGGGUUCGAGUCCCUCCCCGGGCACCA
rnacentral:tRNA from 1 species